AAUAGCCUAACGGCUGAACCAGCAACUUGGAGGAAUGUAAGGCAAUAGCCUAAUGCAUUAUUUUAAUGUUUAAUCGACCAUGUCGAAUAAAAUUCUAGGUAGAGUUUUGACAAUGACAUUCUCUAUCUAUGUGUCUUGACCAAAUUACGUGCCAGCAGUCGCGGUAAUACGUAAAAGACUAGUGUUAUUCAUCUUUAAUAGGUUUAAAGAGUACCAAGACGGUUAAUAAAGCCCCUAAAGGGUACAAGUUAACUAGAGUUAUAUGAAAGGGAGCUCUUAGGUACUGUUGAGUGUAGAGAUGAAAUUCUGUGAUACCAGAUGAUUGGCACGGGUCUAUGCGAAGGCAUCUCCUUAUGUAAUAACUGACGUUGUAGGACGAAGGCUUUUGAAGUGAACAGGAUUCGAUACCCCAGUAAUCUAGGCAGAAAAUGAUGAGUGUCAUAGGUUAAAUAUAAUUUAGUCUAUAAAUGAAAGUGUAAGCAUUCCACCUCAAGAGUAAUUUGGCAACAUUGGAACUGAAAUCAUUAGACCGUUUCUGAAACCAGUAGUGAAGUAUGUUGUUUAAUUUGAUGAUCCGCAAAGAACCUUACCACUUUUAAUAAUGUUAAAAUUAUUAUUUUUUUUUAUAACAUUGUUAAAAUUAUUAUCUUGAAUAAAUAUUUUUUUAAUAUUUACAAGCGUUGCACGGCUGUCUUCAGUUAAUGUCGUGAGAUUUUGGUUAGUUCCAUUAAAUUAACGAAAACCCUUACUUUAUUUUGACAUAAAGUUGUUCACCGUUAUAUUGGAUAUGAUAAUAGGGACCAGGACAAGUCAUCAUGACCUAAAUAUUGU
rnacentral:rRNA from 1 species